CAGUCGCCACGGUAAUACGUAGGGUCCGAGCGUUGUCCGGAAUUACUGGGCGUAAAGAGCUCGUAGGUGGUUUGUCGCGUUGUUCGUGAAAACUCACAGCUUAACUGUGGGCGUGCGGGCGAUACGGGCAGACUAGAGUACUGCAGGGGAGACUGGAAUUCCUGGUGUAGCGGUGGAAUGCGCAGAUAUCAGGAGGAACACCGGUGGCGAAGGCGGGUCUCUGGGCAGUAACUGACGCUGAGGAGCGAAAGCGUGGGGAGCGAACAGGAUUAGAUACCCCAGUAGUCCCUGUCUCUUAUAC
rnacentral:rRNA from 1 species